rnacentral:rRNA from 1 species
UACCAGCUCUCCGAGUGGUAGGGAUGAUUAUUGGGCUUAAAGCGUCCGUAGCCGGCUUAGCAAGUUUCCUGUUAAAUUCAGCGACCUAAUCGUUGAGCCGCGGGAAAUACUACUAGGCUAGGAGGCGGGAGAGGUCGACGGUACUUCUGGGGUAGGGGUGAAAUCCUAUAAUCCCGGGAGGACCACCAGUGGCGAAGGCUGUCGACUAGAACGCGCUCGACGGUGAGGGACGAAAGCUGGGGGAGCGAACCGGAUUAGAUACCCGGGUAGUCCCAGCUGUAAACGAUGCGGGCUAGGUGUUGGGGUGGCUACGUGCCACUUCAGUGCCGCAGGGAAGCCAUUAAGCCCGCCGCCUGGGGAGUACGGCCGCAAGGCUGAAACUUAAAGGAUUGGGCGGGGAGCACCACAAGGCGUGAAGCUUGCGUUC